AUACUUACCUGGCAGGGGAAAUACCAUGAUCAUGGAGGUGGUUUUCCCAGGGUGAGGCUUAUCCAUUGCACUCCAGAUGUGCUGACCCCUGCGAUUUUCCCAAAUGUGGGAAACUAGGCUGCAUCAUUUCUGGUAGUGGGGGACUGCGUUCGUGCUUUCCUCUG